UCAUCAGUGAGAUAUAUCCUUACCUGUUCAUCUUCUGGGAGAACAGCACAUGAUGAAUGUUGUUGGCACAUGAGAUGAGAUGAGAUGCCACAGCCCAGCAACAUCUGGCUAGCUGUUUUCUGUG